CCUACGGGGGGCUGCAGUGGGGAAUCUUGGACAAUGGGCGCAAGCCUGAUCCAGCAAUGCCGCGUGUGUGAAGAAGGCCUGCGGGUUGUAAAGCACUUUGAGUGGGGAAGAAGGCCUGGGGGUUAAUAGCUUCUGGGAUUGACGUUACCCACAGAACAAGCACCGGCUAACUCCGUGCCAGCAGCCGCGGUAAUACGGAGGGUGCGAGCGUUAAUCGGAGUGACUGGGCGUAAUGGACGCGGUCGGAUUUGAAUGCCCUGGGCUUAACCUGGGAACUGCAUUGGAUACUGUUGGACUGGAGUGUGGUAGAGGGGUGUGGAAUUUCCGGUGUAGCAGUGAAAUGCGUAGAGAUCGGAAGGAACACCAGUGGCGAAGGCGGCACCCUGGACCGACACUGACGCUGAGGUGCGAAAGCGUGGGGAGCAAACAGGAUUAGAUACCCCGGUAGUC
rnacentral:rRNA from 1 species